GAUCCCUGGCUCAGGAUGAACGCUGGCGGCGUGCUUAACACAUGCAAGUCGAACGAUGAUCUCCAGCUUGCUGGGGGGAUUAGUGGCGAACGGGUGAGUAACACGUGAGUAACCUGCCCUUGACUCUGGGAUAAGCCUGGGAAACUGGGUCUAAUACCGGAUAUGACCAUUCCGCGCAUGCGGUGGUGGUGGAAAGCUUUUGCGGUUUUGGAUGGACUCGCGGCCUAUCAGCUUGUUGGUGGGGUAAUGGCCUACCAAGGCGACGACGGGUAGCCGGCCUGAGAGGGUGACCGGCCACACUGGGACUGAGACACGGCCCAGACUCCUACGGGAGGCAGCAGUGGGGAAUAUUGCACAAUGGGCGCAAGCCUGAUGCAGCGACGCCGCGUGAGGGAUGACGGCCUUCGGGUUGUAAACCUCUUUCAGUAGGGAAGAAGCCGCAAGGUGACGGUACCUGCAGAAGAAGCGCCGGCUAACUACGUGCCAGCAGCCGCGGUAAUACGUAGGGCGCAAGCGUUAUCCGGAAUUAUUGGGCGUAAAGAGCUCGUAGGCGGUUUGUCGCGUCUGCUGUGAAAGACCGGGGCUCAACUCCGGUUCUGCAGUGGGUACGGGCAGACUAGAGUGAUGUAGGGGAGACUGGAAUUCCUGGUGUAGCGGUGAAAUGCGCAGAUAUCAGGAGGAACACCGAUGGCGAAGGCAGGUCUCUGGGCAUUAACUGACGCUGAGGAGCGAAAGCAUGGGGAGCGAACAGGAUUAGAUACCCUGGUAGUCCAUGCCGUAAACGUUGGGCACUAGGUGUGGGGGACAUUCCACGUUUUCCGCGCCGUAGCUAACGCAUUAAGUGCCCC
rnacentral:rRNA from 1 species